rnacentral:rRNA from 1 species
AUAUUGAGAAGGGCUGUCCCUAGUACGAGAGGACCGGGACGGACGAACCUCUGGUGUGCCAGUUGUUCUGCCAAGGGCAUGGCUGGUUGGCUACGUUCGGGAGGGAUAACCGCUGAAAGCAUCUAAGCGGGAAGCCUGCUUCGAGAUGAGUAUUCCCACCUCCUUGAGAGGGUAAGGCUCCCAGUAGACGACUGGGUUGAUAGGCCGGAUAUGGAAGCCCUGUAAGGGGUGGAGUUGACCGGUACUAAUAGGCCGAGGGCUUGUCCUCAGUUG